AGGAAGUGAACGAAGGCAAGGAGGUAGGAAGAGAGGGAGGAGGAAAGGAAGGAGAGAUGCCUCAGGCUUCAGACCUUACCUGGGUUUUCAGGGCAAACAUAAAUGUAAAUACACUGAUUUAUUCUGUUACUAGAUCAGGUUUUAGGGUCCUGCAAAGGGCUAGCUCGGCACUACACUAGGGAAUUUGCUCCUGUUCUGUCACUUGUCAUGGUCUUUCUUGGUAUUAAAGGCC
rnacentral:lncRNA from 10 species